GGAUGUGAGGGCGAUCUGGCUGCGACAUCUGUCACCCCAUUGAUCGCCAGGGUUGAUUCGGCUGAUCUGGCUGGCUAGGCGGGUGUCCCCUUCCUCCCUCACCGCUCCAUGUGAGUCCCUCCCGAAGCUGCACGCUCGGUUGAAGAGGACGACCUUCCCCAUAGAAGGAAGACCGUCCUUCGGUCAAGGGUAUACGAGUAGCUGCACUCCCCUGCUAGAACCUCCAAACAAGUCUCAAGAUAUUCUUUGAUUAUCUCUGCAUUUUUAAUGGGUUUUUUUGAAUAAGCACAAAUAUGGAUCUCUUCCACUCUAUUGGACAGGUAGAUUGUUUCC
rnacentral:snRNA from 1 species